rnacentral:lncRNA from 1 species
CUGCAGUCUCCUAUUUGGGGCUGAUGUUAAUGACCAAGCAGAAAUCAUUGCUAAGGAUACCGGGGAACAAUCCACUACAUUCACUCAGCCCUCAGUCAGCCUUCAGUUUGGGUCCAAAAUAGCCCCUCAGAGAAGCUCAAGCCAAAAAGUGAGAAGGCGCUAUGUGAAAAAAAAAAGUCUUAUUUCCUGACUCAAGUCUGCACGUGGCAGCUCCCAACUUCCCACCUGGGGAGAACAUUCUGGGGUGUGCAAUGAAACAAAUCACUGCUCAGAAAGGAAGCUCUGGCACCAGCCAUCUCCUGGGACAUGAGGUGAGGACUUACAGGUAACAAGGCCAGGAGGGCUUGAAGCCUAGUUGUUACACGAGUCA